UUCCAGACUCCUACGGGAGGCAGCAGUGGGGAAUAUUGGACAAUGGGGGGAACCCUGAUCCAGCGACGCCGCGUGAGUGAAGAAGUAUUUCGGUAUGUAAAGCUCUAUCAGCAGGGAAGAAGAUGACGGUACCUGACUAAGAAGCCCCGGCUAACUACGUGCCAGCAGCCGCGGUAAUACGUAGGGGGCAAGCGUUAUCCGGAUUUACUGGGUGUAAAGGGAGCGUAGACGGCAGGGCAAGUCUGGAGUGAAAGCCCGGGGCCCAACCCCGGGACUGCUUUGGAAACUGCCAUGCUAGAGUGCUGGAGAGGUAAGCGGAAUUCCUAGUGUAGCGGUGAAAUGCGUAGAUAUUAGGAGGAACACCAGUGGCGAAGGCGGCUUACUGGACAGUAACUGACGUUGAGGCUCGAAAGCGUGGGGAGCAAACGGGAUUAGAUACCCCUGUAAA
rnacentral:rRNA from 1 species